UUGUUAAGGGGUAAAAAGUAAACUUCAGCAGAAAAAAGAGGCUGAUUUGCAAUAUAGUUCCACAUCUCAACAAUCUACAAGGAUGUGUUGUGCAUAAAGGCAUGACAACCCUCGGUCAUUAUCACAAAGCAGAAGAUCCAAUAGUUAUGAAGGUAUACAAAAUAUUCAGCUGAGAGGUGUGAGCAGAUCCAAGAUAUUGCUGGAAGAUUUCUACGUCUAAAAUUUUCAAAUUAGGAAUAACCAUGUAAAUCAACUUACUUGAGUAUGCCCAAUGCUUCACAAAGGUCUUCACUAAGAUCCCGUCAAAAAGAACAAUUUAACACUAAAGAAUUGUCAGGAGACGGAAUGAAUGAUGGCUAUCUAAAUACAAAAUUACCCUUACAAAAGCACAAUCAUUAGAAGCCUCAAGAAAUGACUAUGGCCAAGUGACCUUCUGGCACCACCGCCAGUUCACUAUUUAUCUCCCCACCCCACCAUCCUUCCUCCCCUUAGAAUGAAAGAGAGUGAGAAUAGAGAAGGGUAAACUAUCAGCAUUAUUUCAGAGGAAUGACAACUUUACCAGAAGGGUAAGCAUUUGAAGAAAAUCGACUGAACCUGACCCAUGAUUGUAGAUUUCGGUUGGGUUGGUCUUAAAAAGUGGAAAAAACAAACUGAGUGUUGGUCAUAUAUGUUCCUACAAGCUUUCUUUAUUUCCUAUAAUUUAGUAUAUUUAUGUUUCAAUUUCUCCUCUUAGGUCUUUACUUUAGUCUCUAAUGGGGUUCUUAUUGCUAUAUGUUUUCCAUGGUUGAAGGAAUUUGUAUCUUAUACGUGUUAUUAUAAUUAUCACAUUUGGUUUGAUGAGUGGAAUAAUUGUUAGAGCCUCUUCAAUUAAAGGUAUGCUCUUAAUUCAUAUUUGCAUUACUGUAGGUUAAUUUGUUUCUAGUAUUUUUACCAUUUCUUGUGUUUUCGAGCUUUUUCUUCAAUAUUAGUAAUAGUUUUCAAACAAAAUUUUGUUUAAUUUUCUAAAACUGAUAAACUGAACAAAACCAGUAUACCUAGACUCCAACAAUAUUUAUCUUCAAUACUCAUGGUUAGAGUCUUGUCUGCCUUUAUGAUCCAAACCAUGCAAACUAAUCAAUGUAUCGAUGUUAUAGGAAGUCUCAGUCACUAUUGGCUCCAGAACAUUUUUCUGAGAAUAUAAGAUAGUCAACAACAGCUUGGUCCCUCCAUCUUACAAUUUUCAUCCAUGAAGGUACAUAGCAAUUGUCAUGAGGUCUUUAUCUCUCCAGAAAAUUACACAGGGCAUUGGCAGAAGAAAGCAACAAAUUAAGGGGUCAAAACUUUAUUAUUACCUGUCCAGCAGCAAUUAGAGCCAGCAUAGCCCAUGCUGUAUUUACAACAUGAGAUCUGUUGCCUUCAAGAUUUGUAUACA